GAAUCUUGCGCAAUUGGGGAAACCCUGACGCAGCGACGCCGCGUGGAGGACGAAGGCCUUCGGGUCGUAAACUCCUGUCAAGAGGGACGAAUGCUCCGGGGAUGAAUAAGCCCCGGGGUUGACGGUACCUCUGGAGGAAGCCCCGGCUACCCCCGUGCCAGCAGCCGCGGUAAUACGGAGGGGGCCAGCGUUGUUCGGAAUCAUUGGGCGUAAAGGGCGCGUAGGCGGCCAUGUAAGUCAGUUGUGAAAUCCCCCGGCUCAACCGGGGAACUGCGUCUGAGACUGCUUGGCUUGAGUCCCGGAGAGGGUAGUGGAAUUCCCAGUGUAGCGGUGAAAUGCGUAGAUAUUGGGAGGAACACCCGUGGCGAAGGCGGCUACCUGGACGGGUACUGACGCUGAGGCGCGAAAGCGUGGGGAGCAAACAGG
rnacentral:rRNA from 1 species